rnacentral:rRNA from 1 species
AUUGAACGCUGGCGGCAGGCCUAACACAUGCAAGUCGAACGAGUGGCGGACGGGUGAGUAAUGUCUGGGAAACUGCCUGAUGGAGGGGGAUAACUACUGGAAACGGUAGCUAAUACCGCAUACCAUCAGAUGUGCCCAGAGGGGAUUAGCUUGUUGGUGGGGUAACGGCUCACCAAGCCGACGAUCCCUAGCUGGUCUGAGGGAUUGACCAGACAGACUGGAACGUAGACACGGUCCAGACUCCUACGGAAGGCAGAAGUGGGGAAUAUUGCACUAUGGGCACAAGCCUGAUGCAGACAUGCGGCGUGUAUGAAGAAGGCAUUCGGGUUGUAAAGUACUUUCAGCGGGGAGGCGUUACCCGCAGAAGGAGCACCGGCUAACUCCGUGCUAGCAGCCGCGGUAAUAC